AAAGUGGAGCAAUCCAUGAGUACAGUGGCGUACGGGUGAGUAACACGUGGAUCAUCUACCUCGUAGUGGGGAAUACCCCCGGGAAACUGGGGAUAAUACCGCAUAAUCCUGUGAAGGGAAAGCCGAAAGGCGCUGUGAGAGGAGUCCGCGGCCGAUUAGCUAGUUGGUGAGGUAAUGGCCCACCAAGGCGAAGAUCGGUAGCCGGCCUGAGAGGGCACACGGCCACACUGGCACUGAAACACGGGCCAGACUCCUACGGGAGGCAGCAGUGGGGAAUCUUGCACAAUGGAGGAAACUCUGAUGCAGCGACGCCGCGUGAGCGAUGAAGCCCUUCGGGGUGUAAAGCUCUUUCGACGGGAACGAUAAUGACGGUACCCGAAGAAGAAGCUGCGGCUAACUACGUGCCAGCAGCCGCGGUAAUACGUAGGCAGCAAGCGUUGUUCGGAAUUACUGGGCGUAAAGAGUGUGUAGGCGGUGUUCUAAGUCUGUUGUGAAAUCUCCCGGCUUAACUGGGAGGGUGCGGCGGAAACUGGAAUGCUAGAGGAUGGGAGAGGUAAGCGGAAUUCCUGGUGUAGCGGUGAAAUGCGUAGAUAUCAGGAGGAACACCUGUGGUGUAGACAGCUUACUGGACCAUUUCUGACGCUGAGACACGAAAGCGUGGGUAGCAAACAGGAUUAGAUACCCUGGUAGUCCACGCCCUAAACGAUGCAUACUUGGUGUGAGCGAUUCAUUUCGUUCGUGCCGGAGCUAACGCGUUAAGUAUGCCGCCUGGGGAGUACGGUCGCAAGGCUGAAACUC
rnacentral:rRNA from 1 species